rnacentral:rRNA from 1 species
UCUGGGACAAGCCCUGGAAACGGGGUCUAAUACCGGAUAACACUUCCUGCCGCAUGGUGGGGGGUUAAAAGCUCCGGCGGUGAAGGAUGAGCCCGCGGCCUAUCAGCUUGUUGGUGGGGUGAUGGCCUACCAAGGCGACGACGGGUAGCCGGCCUGAGAGGGCGACCGGCCACACUGGGACUGAGACACGGCCCAGACUCCUACGGGAGGCAGCAGUGGGGAAUAUUGCACAAUGGGCGAAAGCCUGAUGCAGCGACGCCGCGUGAGGGAUGACGGCCUUCGGGUUGUAAACCUCUUUCAGCAGGGAAGAAGCGAAAGUGACGGUACCUGCAGAAGAAGCGCCGGCUAACUACGUGCCAGCAGCCGCGGUAAUACGUAGGGCGCAAGCGUUGUCCGGAAUUAUUGGGCGUAAAGAGCUCGUAGGCGGCUUGUCACGUCGGAUGUGAAAGCCCGGGGCUUAACCCCGGGUCUGCAUUCGAUACGGGCUAGCUAGAGUGUGGUAGGGGAGAUCGGAAUUCCUGGUGUAGCGGUGAAAUGCGCAGAUAUCAGGAGGAACACCGGUGGCGAAGGCGGAUCUCUGGGCCAUUACUGACGCUGAGGAGCGAAAGCGUGGGGAGCGAACAGGAUUAGAUACCCUGGUAGUCCACGCCGUAAACGUUGGGAACUAGUGUUGGCGACAUUCCACGUCGUCGUGCCGCAGCUAACGCAUUAAGUUCCCCGCCUGG